CAAAAGGUUCUUUUCAGAACCAAUUUUUUUUUUAAAUUUUCU
rfam:Stegodyphus mimosarum contig123808, whole genome shotgun sequence.